CGAAUUAAGGACGCGAGUGACGGGCAGUUGUCACCAAACUGGAGGGGGAGAAAGGAGAGCUGGGGACUUGGGUUCACCGGGGCUGGGCCGAGUAACUGAAGACAGAAAACAGACCUCAAGAGGAGCGCUCGAAGGAGGCAGGGAUUUGCCUGCAUUUGGCUCUGAGCAGGUCCCGGCAGACGCUUGGCGGUUUGUACGUUCGGAGGCUGGGGAGCCCCCUGGUUCAGAGGUCCACACAUGAAGUCACCCUGAAGAGAGUGGCUCCCGCUUUGUAAAGACCUCAUCGCCGCCAGGUGAGGCUAAGAUGAGCAUAACCAGUGACGAGGUGAACUUUCUGGUGUAUCGGUAUCUCCAGGAGUCAGGUAAGAAGGUCCCUCCGGAGCGUGGGGCAUCCCCUUCCACGGGCACGUGCACGGCCUCCAGCCACCAUCCAAAUUCCAGGCUGGAGGAGAAGAGCCCAGGACGCUCUCGUUCAGAGGCUUGAAGGAGAGAGGGUUCGGGGCCAUCCCUUUACUGCGGUGCAUGAGGGAACGUGUUCUUUCUUCCCGUGACGUUUCUGUUCACAUGACGUCAGGUUGGAAUUCAGGCCAAGAGUGAUGGGGACAGACUCUGAGAGGGGUGGGGCUGGUUUGAUGUCGUGGCCCCUGGCACAGGGAAGGCAUGUAUGGGCUGGUGUAUACAUAUGGUGUAUAGAGAUGGGGUGGGGUGAGUUCGUGUUCUUGGCUCACACCAAAGGGAAGGCAUUUACGGGCUGGUGUAAUGUGAUGUCUGUGUGUACGGAGGCGAGGUGAUUUGGUGUUCUUGGCUCCCACCAUAGGGGAGGUAUUCAUGGGCUGGUGUAUGCAUUCGGUGUAUGUCGAUGGGGCAGGGUGAUUUGGUGUCUUUGGCCCCCGCUGGUGUUUACAUAUGGUGUAUAUAUGUGAACCUCCUAGAUUUAGGACCACUGGUUUAUUGAGCUCCAACACCCUCCAUCACCAAAAUGAUCCUUGCACAGCUUUCUAAAAUGCGGGAAUUGGAAGUUCCCAUUGUGGCACAGUGGUUAACGAAUCUGACCAGGAACCAGGAGAUGGCGGGUUCGAUCCCUGGCCCUGCUCCGUGGGUUAAGGAUCCGGCGUUGCCGUGAGCUGUGGUGUAGGUUGCAGAUGCGGCUCGGAUCCCGUGUUGCUGUGGCUCUGGUGUAGGCUGGCCACUACAGCUCCGAUUCCACCCCUAGCCUGGGAACCUCCAUGUGCUGCGGGAGCAGCCCUAGAAAUGGCAAAAAGACCCAAAAAAAAAUUAAAAAAAUAAGUAAUAAAUAAAUAAAAUGCGGGAAUUGUUCAGGUUUCUUGCAGCACUUUUGAUUAUGAGCGAGACACAACUGUGGUUCGUCACACACCGGCUAAACGCGUGUUCCGGGAAGGAGCCGAGGGUGCCGCAGAGCCCGAGGCGGGACCUGGCCUGGCUUCGUCAGGGCUCGUGGGGUUCCCCCGUGAGUCACUGGACAAAGAUGAGCCCUGAGGUUCCCAUCGUACGAUAUUGGGGCUGCCCCAAGCAGUGGAGCUUAAACACCGUUCAAAGAAAUGCUUGCGGAUACUUUUUAAAAUUCUGAAGUCUAUUAAUUUUUUAAUAUUAUUAAUUUUUAACAUGCAUUUCUAAAAUGCAUACUUAAAAAAACUUGUGAGAUACCCAUUUUAAGGCGUGCAAGUGGACAUUAGUGCAGAAACAUCCUUGUACCCACCUCCUUCGGAACCUGAGACAGACACCGUUUCUAAUGCAGCAGGUCCUGUGUGCGUGACUUCCUGCUGCUUCCCCCCCCGCCGCCCCCCGUCUAUGAUCUUCCUGCAUAUAUGUUUUUCUAGGAGACAGAAAGUACAGGAGUGUUAGUUGCCCUGCGUCCUGGGUGGCCUGGACAGAAACGUAUUGUCCCACUGGUCUGGAGGACAGCAGCCCGAAACCAAGGUGUCAGCAGCAGCGUCUGACGAAGGCUGUCAGCCUCUGCUCCGUGCCGCUCGCCCGGCUUCUGCUGGUUCGCUGGCCACCUGGGCACUCCUCGGCUUGCACGGGCAUCGUCCCCACGUGCCUCCUUCCUCCUUUCUGUAAAGACAAGGUCGUCUUGGAUGACGGCCCCCUGCCGUCCAGUACAGCCUCAUCUUAACUCCUUGCAUCUGCAGUGACCCUGUUUCCAUGUACUGUCGCAUUCGGAGAUGUUCCUGGAGGGUGGGACUUCAACAUAGGAACUGGCAGGGGACCCAAGUCAGUCCAUACCGGUUGGUCCCCUGUGUAUUUGGCUUUAUAUGCUUGAUGUCGUGCUAUGUAUGUUCUACAGCUUGAUUUUUCAAGACGGAAGGCAGUUCCCAGGUCACACCUCCCAGAGACACACGCGCUAGGACUGAGGGUGUAUCAGCUGUGAGCCUGGGGUCUGGACUCUUUCAGGGUCAGCCUGGAAGGCGCAGUUCUGAUCCUUGAACAAAUUAUCUAUCCCAUGGGAGCGUCACCUUCCCUGCAGGGGUGGAGGGGGGUGUUUUGUGGAGGGGUGGGGAGAAUGGUUUUCCUGGGCAAAAGGGGUGAAAUGCAUCCAGAAGCAUGGAAUAAAUAAACACCUCUCCCAAUCCAUGCCUGGAUCUCUGUCCCUUGUGGCCUCAAUGGCAUUUUUUUUAAAGCUGUACCUAUAGCAUAUGGGCGUUCCCAGGCUAGAGGCUGGACCAGAGCUGAGGCUGCGGGCCUGCAGCACAGUUUGCAGCAACACAGGAUCCUUAACCCACUGAUUGAGGCCAGGGAUCAAACCCAUAUCCUUGGUUUUUAACCUGCUGAGCCCCAGUGGAAACUCCACCCAGUGGCCUUAUUUGUGGAGAGUGCACGUUCUGUCUGCAUAUACUUGAGAUCAUUUGCAUUCGCUGUCACCAGAGCAUAAUAUAAAAAACCUGCAGGGCUUUACCCCCGUCAGUCAGGUAACUCAUCACCACUGCUCUGAUACCUCAGCCUCGGAACGGAACCAGGGCACCUCUUGCCUGGAGAACAGGUGUUCUCCUAGCACGGAUCAGACGGAGUCCCAGACAUAUUUGCAAGGAAAAUUCCGUGCAUCCAACCCCGUUGCCCUGUCGACUCCCAGCAUUGACUUCGAGACUCCUUCCUUUUAGAAACACCUCUGCACAAAGAACCGAUGAAGGCAAGAGUAUGGUCAAAAUGUGUAAACAGAUCAGGAGCUGAAACUGCCAUCCCUCUGUUUGUGAACCUCAGGAUAAGCCAAGGGCGUGUAACCCAGAGAAAGGCUCUCCCUGGUGGUUGGGCCCCAGGGCCCCAGGGCAAGAGCGUUGCUGGGCUGUUUGAAUAAACACACCCCUCCCCUAGAAAGUCGAGAGACUUCCUUUCUUAGUGUGUGUUUACAUGUCUCACUUCUGUUGAUGAAGCUUCUGUAACCAGGCAACGAGGAGACUAGAGACAACAAAGUAUAGAAUUUCCUCGGGGCCGCUCGUAUGUCCAUCUCCUGAGCUGCUGUCCUAGUUUGUCAGGGUCCUUGGAGUCAGAUCCCAUAAGGAUUUGAGACUGCUCUGCGUCCCUCUGAAGGCUGCACCUGGAUCUGACUGAACAUCGUGCGAGGACAUAGUCAAAGGAAAAAAUGCAUAAUGUUUAAAUGUUCAUUUGGAGGUUGUUGUACAUGUUUAAUCUGAAAUCCUCAAGGUCUGGUUAAGCAGAUAUUUAUCGAGCACCCACCAGAUUCAAGGAGCACCUUCUCCUUGGCCUGUUAGUGUCUCCUUUCUAGCUUUGCAAAGAAAGCAGAGAGGAGUUCCCUGGUGGCUCAGCAGGUUAAGGGUCUGACAUUGUCACUGCUGCGGCUCGGAUCGCUGUUGUGGUGUGGGUUUGAUCUCUGGCCUCGGAGCGUCCUCCUGCCGCGGUUGUGGUCAGUAUGCUCCCUGCCCUUCAUCACCUCAGUGCAUAAGGCUGUGUGUUGCGAUGGGCGUUUCCUUCCUCAGCCCUGCUUUCUCCACCAGAGGUUGUGAGUCUCUGCUGCCAAGUCGUCCUUGUCUGUCAGCUUGAGGUUGUGUGUAGGAGAAAGCGGUGCGAAGGAGGGAGGGGGCCGCCAGAGGGGGGACGCCCUGCAAGGAGGCAGACUGCUGGCUCUCUGAUCCACCUGCUCUUUGCCUCACAACCAGGGAUGGACCCAUAAUCUUCCAUGUCACCAUGAGGGACAAGUUCCUUGGGAGCAGGGCUGCCCCUGGUCCUCGCCAUCUGAGCAGGUGCAGAGAGCCCUGCCCUGGCAGCGUCCUGCAUCAGCUGGGAUGCUUUGGGCUGCAAGUAAGAGCCUCCACGAUGGAGCUGUCAUCCCGGGGACAGCCAAAGGGCAGGGAUUGAAAAGCUGCUUUCCUGAAAGUGUGACAUGGAUCCAUAUCACAUCUUCUCCAACUUGGGGAAGAAUCUCGAAAAUGGACGUGUUUUGUUCCCCUGCCCUCAAGAGGCAGAAUUCAUGUCAUCUUGGAAUCUUCUGUGGCCUUCACCCAGCCGUGCGUUCCACAGCCAUUAAGGAAGGGGGCUCUCGCUGUUGUCACCGUUGGCUGGAUGAAGCCAGCGCCUUGCCCAUAGGCAGCGCUCCCUAGGGACUCCGGAUUUGAGGCGUCUCACAGGGGUGCUCACGGCAGCCUGAUCAGUGAAACUAGUUAAUGAGCAAGGCUUUUACAUUCAGCAGGCGUUAUAUUUGACCUGCUGCAGCACCAAAGUGGCCCGGUUGGUUUUUGCAUGAGUUACAGCAGGCUGGCUUGGAGGGCCGGGAGUCUGGUGGCCUCUGCGUUACAGCAGUUAAUUGUGUGGUCACUUUGGCCAUCUGGGCAAUUUUUAAGAAAUGGACUGUGGCAGAGCGUCUUUGCCACCCGGCCCAUGAGUCCCCUUCGCCCUCUGAGUAGAGGCUCACUGCACGAUGCAUGCAGAAGCCAAUACUGUGUCACCACCUUUUGAGAAAGGAAGCUUUCUUGCGAGGUCCACCUGCAAGGUGAUGAGAGGCAGGGCUCAAUCCAUCUCUCUCAUCCAGGGAUCCAGGCUUUGGGCCAAAACUUAAGGGGUUGGGGAAAUUUCAACCUUGGAAUCUGGUUAGCCAGUCUCAAAUCAGUCCAUACAAGGUCCUUGGGCUGCUGGCAGCUAGAUUUUCUUUAUUGGGGGGCUUCUCGCUGCUUUAAGGGAGGCAUUGGCAACACUUCCAGCCUCUGAGUUCCGUAGACUGAAGAUGGUUGGUUCAGGGUCAUCCUAUGAGGCCCAGGAACCCGUCUCGCACCUGCUGCAGUGCUGCCUCUGUCCCAUAACUCCAGGUUUGAUCCAUCAGUAAACUAUUGAAGUAUUUCUAGUUUAAACUAUUGAAGUGUUUCUAGUUGGAAUGUUUUCCCUUUUGUAUAUAGCCAGUGUUAAAUCUUUAAAUGCAGUACAGCCUCAAUUAUUGAGCUUCCUCUCAAAAUGGUUUUCUACUUGUUUUAUGUAGCCAACCUUGCGGUACUGUAUGUUCAGAAACAAAUCUUAAUGUCUCAGAAAUGUGAGCUCAUGAAAAUAGCUGAUUCUGAAUAUUUAAAAGUAAAUAAAUAAAUAAAUAAACUAUUUAAGGAGGCAAAGCCAGUUUAAGGUGGCCGGUGUUUUACAAGCCCUUUGACGGUGCAUGCGUUUCUGCCUCCACGGGCUUCUGCGAGCCGCUCCUCCAGAUCCUGGGAAAAUCAUGAGUCGUUCCCACCUCUCUGCGAAUGCAGCAGGGGAGGCCAAAUACGGCAGGGGAGGCCGUGGGUGUGAAAAGUGAGAAAAUUCCCUAAGUGAGUCCCCGUAAGCGCAUUCACUACUGCCUCUGGACUUCCUCCCCAAAUCCAGCUUAUAAAGACGGAUUGCCCCCCCAGACCCAAUGGGGUGGGCCCCGGGGAUGCCUUGAUGGCGCCGCCCUUCACCUAACCGGGGGUUUGCCCGCCAGGCAUUGCUGAGGCUCUGGAGAAGGAGCUGGGUGGGUGGCUUUGGUGAUUGUACCAUUGUCUUUGGUACGUGCCCCCAGCCGGCUCCGCGACUGAUGGGCGGAAAGGUGGUCUCGUGGGCUGGUCAGCGGAGAGCAGAGGAGGUCCGGGGUUUGAGGCCAGAUUUUCCACAGCAGUUAAAGGAUGCCGAGACCUUGUCUGCCAUGGUCUCGCGUGGCGACCUUGGAGACGACAGACCUGACCUUUCCUCGUGGCAUGUGGCUGCUCCUCCAAACCCUCCCCACUCUCCUCUGUACCGUCUUUUUCUUUUUCUUCUUUACGGGAAGGUAUAAUUUUUAUGCCAUAAAAUUCACCCCUUUUAGAGGACAGAUUUCCAGCAUUUGCCACACGUCGACUGUCGUGUGACCCCCGGCACCAUCAUGCUGUGGCACAGAUCGUCCUCCCCCGAAAAGCACCCAGUGGCCCACCCCGCCUCGCAGCGCAGCCCCUGGCACCCACUGCCCUGUUUCCUCCUGGGGUUUUGCCUUCGCGGGAAUGGCUGGCAAGUGGAGUCUUGCAGCGCGUAGCCUGGGAAGUCCGGCUCCCUUCAUUCAGUGCCUUUGUGACCGGGCCACCCUGGCGCCCACAUCCGUGGUUCCUUCUUUAAUGCUGUGUCGUAUUACAUUUUAGGGAUGCGUGGCAGUCCGUCUUUUGUCCUGUUCAGGACCGUUUGAGGUGUCUCCAAGCUGUGAUCAUUACAGCUAAGGCUGCUAGAAACACUUGCACCCAGGUUUGCAGUGCUGACUGUAGGUUUUCAUUUCCGUUGGGUCUGCACUGGGCGUGGGGUCCCUGGGUCGUGUGACAGGGUGGGUUUACCUUGAUCAGAAGCCAGCAUGUCCUCUUUGGUGUCCCCUCGCAGUGAGGCAGUUCGCAAACGUCGCUGGUUUUAUAGACUGGAUGGGACCUACAGAGCCCUUGGGGCCUGUCCUGUAGGGUGUAUUGGAAAGCAGGUAAAGGCCAUUCUCGGGCGUUCCUGUUGUGGCUCAGUGGAAACACACCCAUUUCGUAUCCAUGAGGAUGCGGGUUCGAUCCCUGGGCUCGCUCAGUGGGUUAAGGAUCUGGCGUUGCCGUGAGCUGCAGUGUAGACCACAGAUGCGGCUCGGAUAUGGCUUUGCUGUGGCUGUGGCGAAGGCCAGCAGCGGCAGCUCCGUUUCAGCCUCUAGCCUGGGAAGUUUUAUGUGUCCUCGUAGGGCUGAAAAUUACCCUUCGUGGACCUGGCCAGGUCACACCUGUUGAAGUCCACCAUUGUGUCUUGUGCCCAGAUCCGCUGAGUGAGAGGGCGUCCACACACACACACACACACACACACACACACACACACACACACACUUGCUCCUGACAUAGCUACAGCUCCUCAGGCACUGCAGCUUUCUUCAGAAAACCCAGCAACUGCAGCCUGGCCAGGCUCCAGUGCAUAAGCCCGGUCUCUGAGCAGGACUGUGUCCACUGGGGUGGGCUCCCGGGUGGGUGGAGGGAAUUCCUGCAGGCAGGACCCUCGGUGGGGCAGGCGCUCAGACUUCCCGUGCGUUAUGUGCUGCCCACCCAAGGCAGUGACGUCAUGACAACCUGGGGAGUCGUUUCUCCGCAUGGAGUUUUCUGACAUCUUCGCACCGUGAAGAACAGACCGAAGCUUCAUGGAAACGACAGCUAUGGUGGUAACUACAACAGUGACCAAGAAACACAAGUGAGCAAGUGUUGCACUAGUGUUUUGUCAGGUGGAGUGUGUUACCAGGCGGCAUGUCCCCCGUGGCUGUCAUUUUAAACAUUCUAUUUUAUUUUUUAAAUUUUUUUGGUCGUGUCCAUGGCAUGCAAAAGUCCCCCUGGCCAGGGAUCAAACCCAAGCCACACCUGUGACAACAGCAGAUCCUUAACCUGCUGAGCCACCAGGGAACUCCAUAUACACUUUAGAUAAUGAAAAGAUCUGAUCAUUACAGUAGGUGGUGAAAAUCCACGUACCAUCACAAAUCACCAGGAUGGUGGACCUCCAACUGGGAUUGAAAACUCCUUCUGGAGUUCCCGUCAUGGCACAGUGGAAACAAAUCCGACUAGGAACCGUGAGGUUUCGGGUUCAAUCCUGGCCUCGGUCAGUAGGUUAAGGAUUCCGUGUUGCCGUGAGCUCUGGUGUAGGUCACAGACACGGCUCGGAUCUGACAUUGCUGUGGCUGUGGUGUAGGCCAG
ensembl:lncRNA